rnacentral:rRNA from 1 species
UACAGAGGUCUCAAGCGUUGUUCGGAUUCAUUGGGCGUAAAGGGUGUGUAGGUGGCGCGCUAAGUCGGGUGUGAAAUUUCGGAGCUUAACUCCGAAACUGCAUUCGAUACUGGCGUGCUUGAGGACUGGAGAGGAGACUGGAAUUUACGGUGUAGCAGUGAAAUGCGUAGAUAUCGUAAGGAAGACCAGUGGCGAAGGCGAUCACCUGGGGUUGUUCUGACGCUGAGGAGCGAAAGCUAGGGGAGCAAACGGG